rnacentral:rRNA from 1 species
AUGUCACGUUUUGACCUCACAAAAAGCCUAUGUGAUGAGAUUAGUGCUAUGAUUUGUCGGUACUGGUGGAGCCAGCAGGAUGGACAACAUAAAUGUCAUUGGAUCAGCCGCGAAAAGUUGAUGAAAUCUAAAAGGGAUGGUGGACUGGGUUUCCGGGAUCUGCAUAUCUUUAAUAUGGCUAUGCUAGCACGACAGAGUUGGCGGUUCAUCCAACAACCAGACUCACUGUGUGCAGUGGCUUUGAAAGCGAAGUAUCACCCAGAUUGCUCUAUCCUUGAGGCAGUGGAACAUGAGGGUAUGUCAUAUACGUGGCGCAUCAUUCUUCUUGGUCGUGACCUGCUUAAAGAUGGCAUUAUUUGGCGAAUUGGUGAUGGAAAAUGUGUUAAAGUCUGGAGUGACCCAUGGCUUCCGAGGGGAACCACUAGGAGACCCGUGGCACAGCAGGGGCAAUCCAUCAUCACCAAGGUGAAUGAACUGAUAAAUACGCUCAGGGAGACGUGGGAUGAGGAGUUAGUUGUAGAGUUAUUUGACCCGGAGGAUGCUAUGGUAAUUCUAGCUAUACCCCUGAAGCCAGAUAUGGAGGAUUUUCUUUCAUGGCAUUACGAUAAGAGGGGAGCCUUCUCAGUAAAAUCUGCUUACCAACUGGGUGUGAGUAUUAGAGAAGCAAAAAAUCACCAAAACGUGGGGAUAUCCAGUGGUAGUAAUAUGGUACAGGAAAAAUGGAAGAAUAUUUGGUAG